AUUGAACGCUGGCGGCAGGCUUAACACAUGCAAGUCGAGCGAGCGGCGGACGGGUGAGUAAUGUCUGGGAAACUGCCUGAUGGAGGGGGAUAACUACUGGAAACGGUAGCUAAUACCGCAUACCAUCAGAUGUGCCCAGGUGGGAUUAGCUAGUAGGGGGGGUAAUGGCUCACCUAGGCGACGCUCCCUAGCUGGUCUGAGCGGAUGACCAGCCACACUGGAACUGAGACACGGUCCAGCAUCCUACGGGAGGCAGCCGUGGGGAUUAUUGCACAAUGGGCGCAAGCCUGAUGCGGCCAUGCCGCGUGUGUGAAGAGGGCCUUCGGGUUGUAAAGCACGUUCAGCGAGGAGGCGUUACUCGCAGAGGAAGCACCGGCUAACUCCGUGCCAGCAGCCGCGGUAAUAC
rnacentral:rRNA from 1 species